rnacentral:rRNA from 1 species
UACGUAGGGAGCAAGCGUUGUCCGGAAUCAUUGGGCGUAAAGCGCGCGUAGGCGGCCCUGUAAGUCCGUUGUGAAAGUCAAAGGCUCAACCUUUGAAAGCCGAUGGAUACUGCAGGGCUAGAGUCCGGAAGAGGCGAGUGGAAUUCCUGGUGUAGCGGUGGAAUGCGCAGAUAUCAGGAGGAACACCAAUAGCGAAGGCAGCUCGCUGGGACGGUACUGACGCUAAGGCGCGAAAGCGUGGGGCGCGAACAGG